rnacentral:lncRNA from 1 species
CGGCAUUCCUGGCUACUGUGACUUGGAAAUGGUGUGACUGUCAUCUAAUGAAUUCUUGUCUCCAAGGGCCUACUUAAUAGAUGAGCAAAGCCAUGCAUGGUCCUGGGAAGUACAGGCAGGAGGAUCAGGCCAGCCUGGGCUACAGAAGAACCCAUCUCAAAAAUAAUAAGACUGUGCUCACACCAGCUCUGAGCAAGAGGAUGCUAACGCGAACUGCAGAGGUGGUGCUGUCUGAAUGGUAUUUCCAUCAUGGAGUCAUGGAGUAUGG